GACGAACGCUGGCGGCACGCUUAACACAUGCAAGUCGAACGGAGUUAAGAUCAGCUUGCUGAAAUUAACUUAGUGGCGGACGGGUGAGUAACACGUGAGCAACCUGCCUUUGAGAGUGGAAUAGCUUCUGGAAACGGAUGGUAAUACCGCAUGACAUUAUGAAGCCGCAUGGUUUUAUAAUCAAAGAUUUAUCGCUCAAAGAUGGGCUCGCGUCUGAUUAGCCAGUUGGUGGGGUAACGGCCUACCAAAGCAACGAUCAGUAGCCGACCUGAGAGGGUGAUCGGCCACAUUGGAACUGAGACACGGUCCAAACUCCUACGGGAGGCAGCAGUGGGGAAUAUUGCACAAUGGGCGCAAGCCUGAUGCAGCAACGCCGCGUGAGCGAAGAAGGUCUUCGGAUUGUAAAGCUCUGUCCUAAGGGAAGAAGAAAGUGACGGUACCUUAGGAGGAAGCCCCGGCUAACUACGUGCCAGCAGCCGCGGUAAUACGUAGGGGGCGAGCGUUAUCCGGAAUUAUUGGGCGUAAAGAGUACGUAGGUGGUUUGCUAAGCGCAAGGUGAAAGCCCGGGGCUUAACUCCGGCGAGCCUUGUGAACUGGCAGACUUGAGUGCAGGAGGGGAAAGUGGAAUUCCUAGUGUAGCGGUGAAAUGCGUAGAUAUUAGGAGGAACACCAGUGGCGAAGGCGACUUACUGGACUGUAACUGACGCUGAGGCGCGAAAGUGUGGGGAGCA
rnacentral:rRNA from 1 species